ACCUACGGGACGUAGCAGUGAGGAAUAUUGGUCAAUGGGCGCGAGCCUGAACCAGCCAAGUCGCGUGAGGGAAGACGGUCCUAUGGACUGUAAACCCCUUUUGUCGGGGAGCAAAAGACGCCACGCGUGGCGUUCCGAGAGUACCCGAAGAAAAAGCAUCGGCUAACUCCGUGCCAGCAGCCGCGGUAAUACGGAGGAUGCGAGCGUUAUCCGGAUUUAUUGGGUUUAAAGGGUGCGCAGGCGGAAGACCAAGUCAGCGGUAAAAUUGAGAGGCUCAACCUCUUCGAGCCGUUGAAACUGGUUUU
rnacentral:rRNA from 1 species